GACUAACGCUGGCGGCGCGCUUAACACAUGCAAGUCGAACGGAAAGGCCUGCUUUCCCUUGUGGAUUGCGGGUACUCGCGUGGCGAACGGGUGAGUAACACGUGAGUGAUCUGCCCCCAACUUGGGUAUAAGCCUGGGAAACUGGGUCUAAUUCCCGAUAGGACUGCAGGGUGGGUCCGGAGGUGGAAAACGAUUUUCUAGUGGUCGGGGAUGAGCUCGCGGCCUAUCAGCUUGUUGGUGGGGUAAUGGCCUACCAGGGCUGCGACGGGGAGGCUGCCCGGGAGGGUCGACGUGCACAUUGGGACGGAGAUACGGCGCAUGCUCCUACGGGAGGCAGCAGUGGGGAAUAAUGCACAAUGGGCGGAGGCCUGAUGCAGCGACGCCGCGUGGGGGAUGACGGCCUUCGGGUUGUAAACUCCUUUCGACCGCGAGGAAGCCACCUGGUUGGAAGGGUGGUGACGGUAGUGGUAGAAGAAGCACCGGCUAACUACGUG
rnacentral:rRNA from 1 species